UACCAGCACCCCGAGUGGUCGGGACGAUUAUUGGGCCUAAAGCAUCCGUAGCCGGUCUACAAGUCUUCCGUUAAAUCCACCUGCUUACAGAUGGGCUGCGGAAGAUACUAUAGAGUAGGAGGCGGGAGAGGCAAGCGGCACUCAGUGGGUAGGGGUAAAAUCCUUGAUCCAUUGAAGACCACCAGUGGCGAAGGCGGCUUGCCAGAACGCGCUCGACGGUGAGGGAUGAAAGCUGGGGAGCAAACCGGAUUAGAAU
rnacentral:rRNA from 1 species